rnacentral:rRNA from 1 species
GGGGAAUAUUGGACAAUGGGCGAAAGCCUGAUCCAGCAAUGCCGCGUGAGUGAUGAAGGCCUUAGGGUUGUAAAGCUCUUUUACCCGGGAUGAUAAUGACAGUACCGGGAGAAUAAGCCCCGGCUAACUUCGUGCCAGCAGCCGCGGUAAUACGAAGGGGGCUAGCGUUGCUCGGAAUCACUGGGCGUAAAGGGUGCGUAGGCGGGUUUCUAAGUCAGAGGUGAAAGCCUGGAGCUCAACUCCAGAACUGCCUUUGAUACUGGAAGUCUUGAGUUCGGGAGAGGUGAGUGGAACUGCGAGUGUAGAGGUGAAAUUCGUAGAUAUUCGCAAGAACACCAGUGGCGAAGGCGGCUCACCGGCCCGAUACUGACGCUGAGGCACGAAAGCGUGGGGAGCAAA